rnacentral:lncRNA from 1 species
UUUUCAUGUUAAUUAUAUUAACUUUUAUCAUUACUUUCUGCAUACUGCCAAGUCUCCGUUUAUGGGAGACCAUCGAAAUUUUCUCCUAAAACCAAUUUACGUUUGCGAAGUAAAAAGUGACUCGAUUAAAAACCUUAGCAAACAGUCUUAAAGGUAAAUUGGGCAAAACCCAAAAAGGUGGGACGCGAAAGGCUGAAAUGUGAGAAAUCCUGACUUGGCUACACAGCAAAGAGACCCAGGCACACGUAAGCACACAAUAAAUGUGAGUUGUUAUCACCACCACCAUAGACAUCGACAACGUCGUCGUCACCUAGAGCUGCAUAGCGGGGCCCGAAGCUGCUGCUGCCAACAUUUUCACCUGAAGAGACUGAGCGCGCGGCGCCGAGCGGCGGGGGACCCCGAAGAGUGAGCACGGAGAACUCGGGUCGGACUCCAGCCUGGGGACGCCCUCCGGGAAGUCCGCACCUCGGUCCCGGAGCGCCCUGCCCCGCCCCUCCGACCGGCCCCGCUGUCCCGCUCCAGUUCUCACCGCGUGCAGCCCCGAACCUGUCGCGGCCAGCGAGCCACUUCCGGCGGCGGAGAGAGGGCUUCCCAGGCACCAUAGAGAAACGGAAGGAAAGAGCGGUCUGCCGGAAGCGAGGCGCGGAGGCCGGAAGCGAAGCGCUGAGGCCCUGGCCGGCCGCCGGCUCCCGGCGAAAGUAGCUCCUGGGCGGCGCGGAAGCAAGCGGCUUUGAGAGCGGUGUUUGUCAGGAAGGGUCACCAACACCCUCACGCUGUCCUCCAAAACCGGGAAACUGAUGCUGCAAGGGCAGAUUCUUAGUUUUAGGCUUUUCCCUGACAAGAGGGACUUGGCUCAGACUAUCCAGCAAGUGGGUGGCCCAGUGGAGACCAGGGAGUUCCAGACAACCAGGCCUGGUCUGACUUCCUUCCUCCCCACCCCACCUCUAACCACUGGACACACUACCUUUUGUGUAAGUAAAGCUAAACUGAGGGCUUCCAUGGUGAUAACUAGGGAGUGGUGGCCUUGAGAUGAGGAAUCUUAGGGGGCAAUGUGAGAAUACAUAAAAGGUUGCUGUUUUUCAUCAGAGAAACUAAAAACUGCUUCCAGCACAGGGGAAGGGGUGGGCAGGGAAGGUGGGAAGGGCCUGGGCAGAGCUGCAAGUCCUCAGAACCCUGUCAUCCUUCAGCUUCCCCUUUGUCUGAGCUGAGCACGAACCCCCAGAGUCAUCCCACAUCCGAAAGAAAACCAAGACAGCAGGACUGUGAUCUCCUCUGUCCAUUGGCUGCCCUGAGGGAGAAGGGGAAGG